GGGUGAUUCUCGUAGCCCCAGGUUUUCACGCCAGGAAAAAAGCACCCUGCCGUGGUCCUGUGUCCUGUUCCCAACUCACCGUGUCCCGAAGUUGUGGCGCUGCGGGAUUCUGUGUCGACCCAGAUCUAUAGGUCUUAAAACUCUGUGAGCUGGUCCCAGGAGUGUGGGGGAGGUGUUGGGCGCAUGGCGCUCUUGAGCUGGGAGCGCAGGGCAAGAGACCUCGAGUGGGGCCGGGCUUUUGUGCUAAGUUAGACUGAAGUACGGAGCUGCCGGGAGGAGCCUGGGCAACGAGCCAGGCACGCGCCUCCCAUUUCUCACGCCUUCUUCUCCAUCCAGUGCUUACGGCACAGGACCCCCUUGUGAGUUAGUGGAGAGGCUCAGUGUGCACAGCCCUGAAGACUACCUUGCGCUGUGGGAAAGGGAACCCCACCUAUCAUCCUGUCCCCCAGCCAGUAUGGCUCUCAGGCUCAGCCAGGAUGCUCCAGAGACAAGCUGCCCUCAGCUCCAUCCGCCCAGACUUCUAGUAUCUGGGAGAUCUCAAGAGACCCAGAAUCGCAUGGCGGUCGGCAGGCACAGUUUUUGGUUUAGAUUGUUGCAACAGACAUCCCACACUUGGAGCCCCGCCGGCCUCCAGGCCAUGCAGGAGGUCUCUGGAAAGAGGGAAUAUCGGAGAAGCAGGAAGUAUAUCAGCUGAGGCCCCAGCAGCACAGCCCACAUCCCCAGCCCACGGCCGCCAUCAGCAUCUCCUAUAUGGCCGCCAUCAGCAUCUCCUAUACGGCCGCCAUCAGCAUCUCCUAUAUGGCCACAUCAGCAUCUCCUAUAUGGCCACUGACGCCCAGUGGU